rnacentral:rRNA from 1 species
AGAGAUCAUGGCUCAGAAUCAACGCUGGCGGCGUGCCUCAGACAUGCAAGUCGAACGCGAAAGUCCCCUUCGGGGGAUGAGUAGAGUGGCGCACGGGUGAGUAACACGUAGGUAAUCUACCUUCGGAUGGGGAAUAACAACCGGAAACGGUUGCUAAUACCGCAUAAUGCAGCGGCACCUAAUGGUGACAGUUGUUAAAGCGGGGGAUCGAAAGACCUCGCGUCUGAAGAGGAGCCUGCGGCAGAUUAGCUAGUUGGUAAGGUAAUGGCUUACCAAGGCGAUGAUCUGUAGCCGGCCUGAGAGGGCGGUCGGCCACACUGACACUGACAUACGGGUCAGACUCCUACGGGAGGCAGCAGUCGGGAAUUUUGGGCAAUGGGCGAAAGCCUGACCCAGCAACGCCGCGUGAAGGAUGAAAUCCUUCGGGAUGUAAACUUCGCAAGAACGGGAAGAAUAAGUAGGGGACAAUACCCCCCAUGAUGACGGUACUGUUUGUAAGCUCCGGCUAACUCCGUGCCAGCAGCCGCGGUAAUACGGGGGGAGCAAGCGUUGUUCGGAUUUACUGGGCGUAAAGGGCGCGUAGGCGGCCACCGCAAGUCAGUUGUGAAAUCUCUGGGCUUAACCCAGAAAGGUCAACUGAUACUGCGGGGCUAGAGUGCAGAAGGGGCAACUGGAAUUCUCGGUGUAGCGGUGAAAUGCGUAGAUAUCGAGAGGAACACCUGCGGCGAAGGCGGGUUGCUGGGCUGACACUGACGCUGAGGCGCGAAAGCUAGGGGAGCGAACGGGAUUAGAUACCCCGGGUAGUCCUAGCCUUAAACAAUGAAUGCUUGUUGUCUGGGGUUUAUAGUCCCGGGUGCCGUCCCUAACGUUUUAAGCAUUCCGGCCUGGGGGAGUACGG